rnacentral:lncRNA from 1 species
UCUCCAACUGGAAGAAACAGUACUUUUUUGAGGAUCUUCUCAUCAAUACUGAUAAUGAGCCCUUAUACUAUGCUCGAUCCAUCCUGUGGGUCAUAGUUCGCGAUGUAUUCUUCCACUAAUGCCACAUUAAUUGAAGGCAAACUAUCUGACCUUCACAAAAACUGAAAUAUUUGUGCGUUUCAAAAAUCUCGUAUUCUCUUUGGCGUCCAGCAAAUCUCUAGCUUCAUAGGCUCCAUAUUGGUAACGAUUACUACAGAUGGUGGUCCUAAAUUGUGUUUAGCUUUCACAUUUUGGCCACUGUCCUCUCUGUCCGUAGCUCUCUUUGCAGUCUCCAUCGCCAUGACGUACACUCUUUCAAGCUCUAACCAUCAAUACUACGCUCCAGUACUCCGAAACACCCAAAAUUGUAACACUGAAAAGAAACAAUAAUAGAAUGCAACAACUGAGAAUGACCGUAAAUGGGUACCCCACACCUAUUCUUUUACCUAGUGGUGAUAACGACAACAUGUUACCCCUACUGUCCGUUUCUCACCCCUCUCCCAU